AUUAGAUACCCUAUUAUUUUUAUUAUAAAUUUAAAGAUUAAGCUUGAGUAUUAAUAGUUAUGAUCUUUAAACUUAAAGAAUUUGGCGGUAUUAUAAUCUGUUUAGAGGAAUCUGUUAUGUAAUUGAUAAUCCGCAUUGAACCUUACUUAUAUUAUUUCUUGUAUACCGCUGUUUAAGAGUAUAUUUUUAGAUAAUUUUCUGAAUAUUAGAAUUGUUAUAAUAUUUCAAGUCAAGGUGCAGUUAUAUAUAAGUUGAAUAAUGGAUUACAAUAAAUUUUAUUUAUUAUGAAUUAUUUAUUGAAAUAUAAUUUGAAGGUGGAUUUAAUUGUAAUUUUAUAAAGAUUGUUAAAAUGAUGGUGGCUCUAUAAUAUGUACACAUCGCCCG
rnacentral:rRNA from 1 species